rnacentral:lncRNA from 1 species
UAGGACUGACCCAACACGAGAAGUAGUUCUCUCUUUACACAACAUGUACGCUUUAUCCUUAGAUCUGAGAUUGUCGCAUGUACUUAAGAUGUGGAUCGACUUACUUAGGGGCUAUCAAACGCUACACCGUAACAGGGUAGUUAAAAAGGUAGCUUUCAGGUUUGUCAGGAAGCAUGCUGUGACGCAUGGUCAAUCAAGAUGGGAUUUGCCCCUCUCUGAUUUAGAGUGAUA